ensembl:lncRNA
CCUCUGGGUACAUAGUUGUGUAUUUUUAGUUGUGGGUCCUUCUAGUUGUGGUAUGUGGGAUGCCGCCUCGGCAUGGCCUGAUGAGCAGUGUCAUGUCCGCGCCCAGGACUGGAACUGGCGAAACCCUGGGCUGCCAAGCAGAGAUCUUGAACUUAACCACUCGGCCACGGGGCCGGCCCCUAGAUUUGACUUUCUAACUUUCACUUCUUUUAAUCAUGGGCAAGCUGCUUAACUUUGUGAAACUUCAGCUUCUCUCUCUUUCUCUCCCUCUCUCUUUCAAUCUGUGUUUGUGUGUGUAGUGUGUGUCUUCAUUAGGAAGUAUGAAUAAUAUAAUAUAAAUUACAGUGCUUUAAAAAAAUCAUUUUACGAACAGUAAAUAUUUUUUUGAAUCCAUUUUCUCUACCAAGCUUUAUGGAGACACAAAAAUGAGAAUUUCAAAAUCUGUGAAUUCAAGGAAAUCCCUCAUGAGACUAUCAGCUUCUCUGUGCCCACGGUGAUACAGCCCAAGCGAUGGCCUAUUUGCUCAACCCUCUGGCAGAGACUACCUAGAGUCUCUGAGUCCCAAACCAAAUUCUCAGAGAGAAACCUGAUUAGCUCCUCAGUUCAGGUGUCUGUCGCUGGCCCAGUAAACUUUGAACAGGACAGAUGGUCUUACUCAGCCAGCUGCCCUCUCCGUAAAGGCACCUGAAGCAAACUUGAGAAGGAGACAGAGAUAGGGCAGUGGAUCAAUGUUACUUAGAGAAGGGGACACAGGCUGGCACACACUCUAAGAAGAAUCAGUCUGGUGUUAAAGAAUGUGAAUUUGACCCUGUACGGAUACAGGCUUUCAUAAUUAUUCCAAACUUCACGCAGACCUGCAAAGAGAUUGCAGUACCUAUAUCUUCCAUAUGACUUACUGGACCUUCUUAUUCUAUAUGGUGCUUUGUAUCAUUGUCCCCAGUUAUUUGUUGUAUGUAAGUAUUAUGGGAGAGGCAUGUCUCAAACAGUUAAAGUUGUGGCUAUUUGUACAUGGUACUGUCUGGAAUCAAAUAGAUAAAUAACCAAUUAAGUUUUAGAGAGAACUGUAAUAUCAAAAGAGCCACCAACCUGGAUUAUAAAAGACUGUGACUGUUUGAGAUUUAAAACAACUUUGCUGUCCCGAACUUCUAUAGCAGAAAGCAGCCCAACAAAGCUAUGUAGUCCCCCCGAAAGGCACAUUGCUAACGUUGUCUUCAUAUGUGGACAAGGAUGAUCACGAGAAAGAAAGACCCUUUCAGAGAGUGGAGCCAAGACCCCCAUGGGGUAGAUGGUCUAGGGAAAUCCUCCAAGGGAGCAGACAGGGCUUAAUCAAGGAAUAUUUCCUGUGCCUAGGAAGGCCGCUCUUGCGAAGUUUGACUAGCAAAAUUUCAGAGUUGCUGUAGGCCAGUGACUUCUAUAUGUCUCUUAUUCUACGAUGGGAUUAUUUAUUGUGGUUGUCUUGUCCCUUAUUUAACUAUUGUGUAUGUGUGACAAGGGAAGCAGGUAACUUAUUUUAACUUCACAGCCUCUGGAUCAAAAAGACCCCCAUCUGGCCCUGAUAUACAUAAUAUUAUAAAAUCUUGGACAUGGAGCCUUUUGCUAUGAUUGAAUUGGAGUGGAUUCUGAAGUCUCUUUCUUGGAGAGGAGGAGAGUGUAUUUUAUUCAAGGAAGGGCCAGAAACAAAAAUUUGUAACUAGAGGAUAGUCAUAUAGGGUACGUUGUGUAAGGAAAUCAUGGUUCCUAAUUAUUUGCUGUGACUACAUGUAAGAAGAUAAUUUCUCCCCACGUUUGACUAUCAGGCUUGGCCAUGUGACUUGUUUAAGUUAGUGAAGUGAGAGUGGGAUCCACAUAAUUCACUGCUGUAUAGAAGCUUUAAAUAGUAUCUCAUGGAUCUACCAUUGCUCCUUUUUCUCUGGCACAAAGCUGAAUGUCCCGGAUAGAAGCUUCUUCUUCAUGUCCUGAAAUGAAGACACCGUGGAACAUAACCAUUGUCAAUCUGCACAGGAUAAGUAGUGAGAAACAAACAUUAGUUGCCGUAAGCUAUUAGGAUUUGGGAAUUUUUGUUAUUACAGCAUAAAAAUUGAUAGGUGCAACCUGGCAUAUGAAGUAGUUUAUAAAAUAGUUUAUAAAUGUGAAGUCUUUUUUAAAUUUUCCACUUGAAAGAGUGCUAAAGAUCUAAAACUUCUUAGAGGUAAAGUAAUAAAGUCACUAAAUAUUUUUCUAUUUCUUCCUCUUUUCUUCUUUGUUGCUUUCUUUUUCCCUCCCUCCCUCCUUUCCUUCCUUCCUUUUUUCGAGCAUUGGUACCAGUUUUUUAAACAAUCUCAUUAAGAAGAUCUCUAUAUAAAUAUCUGACAGUUGAACUGCUCUGGAAGGAGAGAAGGAGAUUGGGGCAGUGAGGGCUCAACAUUUCUCCCUUACCUCCUCACAGACCCCUCCCCGCACUCGAUAUGCUUGAGGUACAACUUUUAAGUCCCUUCAGGGUAGAGUGUAAAAGGGGUUUAAGGUCCAAAGAAGGAAAGUAACGUGCACACAGCCGCACAAAUUUUUUGUGAGCCAGGUGGGAGGCCGUGAAGUGUACUGGACUUGGGAAUAAGACAGACAUUGGUUUGAAUCUCUGCUCUGCUAUGGAUUAAAUGUGACCUUGGGCUACCCCCCUUGACAUUUCCAAGUGUCUGUUUUUUCAUCUGUAAAAUGGGGACAAUAAAACCUGCCUCAUAACAGCUGUGGAGAAGAUUCAGGGCAGCAGUGUGUUUGCAUGAAAAAUAUUAUUAUUAUUUGCUCCUUGUGCUUGAUGCUGUUUCCUUUCCAACACACAGUGCUUCACUAGAAUUGUGUAAAUUUUUAUCAGAAAAAAUAUGUUUGAAAUGGCUUGUUGCUCAUCUUUAUUUCAUAGAGUGGACACUGGCUUGUCCAUGGUCACAUUGCUAGAACUAGAAUGUGAGUCUUCUGUUCUCCAUAGGUAUCAAACUGCUGUUGAGUCUCUAAAGAUCUCUGGGUUUAGAGAUGCAUGAAGCCUCAUUGUAGUUUCUGAAAGCUCCUCCUUAUGUUCGAGUGAGCAACUGGUGGGUUUCAUUUUUCUUCAUUCCUGGACUGAAAUGUUUCCAGUUAGCCCAGAAGAACCCAACAAAGCAUAUCAGAAACUGAGAAACUAUACUUUUGGGUUUAAUCUGGAGUUGAUUCUGAAGAACUAUAAAAUGCUAGCGUGAAAGAGCUAUUUCCCCAUUUCCCUGAACACUUUUUCUGCCUGAAUGACAGACAGUUGGUGCUGUAAAAUGAGGGGAUUGAGACCACCCACUUAAAGAAUAGCCACCACAUUUCUUCUCUGGGAGAAGAGAAACGGAUACGACUUUAACAUCAAAGAUUCUUCUAGAAGAUGCAAGAAGGCCUGAGGAAGAAACCUGUCAAGCAAUGCAGCUCUGCUUGUCAGUUUUAUUAAAAGGGUGCCUGACUUGCAUGACUCAGACUCCGGGUGUGUCUCUGAACUGCAAGUAACAGCAAGAUUUUACUUCCAAGGCAGGAAGCAACAGCAUUUGGGUGUGACCAAUUAGGCAUUACUUUGGCAUUUCCCAACUUGCCAUUUUGGUAAAGCCCUUUGGGGCUGAGAAGUUUACUCAGAAUAAAACCACUUAAGUCACAAAUUCUUUAGGGGAUGCAGGCUCUGCCUGCUAGGUCUUAGGAUUUUUCUCUCUACAAGACAGCGCAAAGCCCAGAAAGCCAUGGAAGCACUGGGCUAAAGACUCUCUUGAAGACCUUCUAUGUCCAAGUUUGUUUGUUCAUGUAAAGAAGAAGAUAUCUACGUCUUUUCUUCUAGUUUCAUUUCGGCCCAUUGUAAUACUGAAAUGGGACUGAGAAUCUGGAAUGGAGAUACAUGCUCAAUUGAUUCUUUUGUUCCACUUUGUAGGCUGGCUGGGUUCCUGACAACUGGUCGGUGAUUCUCCCCUAGAACGAGACGCCUUCCUGGCACUCCUGGGAUAGGGUGGUGUGUGUGCACCUCUGGCUCUUAGAGCAAAGAGAUGACCCUGGGCAUGGGGGUAAGAUGGCACAGGGAGAUACAGGGUGGGGUGCCCAGGCUAAUUUAGGUCAGGCAACUGAACUGGGAGAGUGGCAUGAUGUUCCUCUUUUCUGAGGCCUUGCUGGCAUCUCUAGUGACAAAUGGCUUCCCUGAGUUUAGCUGUUAUCACACCUUUGUCCUCAAUGAGUAAGGAGAGUUUGUUUAGAGUUCCAAGCUAUGGCAAAGAGAUGUGAAUGGACAGCUCAAAGGAAGUAACUGUUGCCAAGUUCUGCAUUACGAGCAGGUAUCAGUGCUUCCAGAGAAAGCCUAAUGAUAAGUUUGGAGGAAUUUCAGUACUCUUUUGUUUAGCUCUGCUAUUUAAUAACUCAGUAAGGCUUUGUCUUCUCUUUGGGAAAAAAUGGAAAAUAUUCAUACCUCAUUACUGAUUCUAUCUGAUAGACAGUGGAUGUUUAAUAAUUAUUAGUUCCCUUCACACUCCUUAAAUGAUUGAAAUGAUCAUCGAAGACUCAGCUUAGCAGAUUUUAGAAGGUAACCCAUAAUCGUUUAUUUUUAGAUUGCCUUUCUCUUUUUAUUGUCUUUGUCUUUUUUUGCUUUGGCAUUAUUUUAUAAUAUACUUAUAAUCUACUUUAUAUGCUUUAGAAAUAUUCUUUCAUAUAGCAUAAUUUGCUGUUAUAAUAUUCUACAGUUCCACUGUCCAGCAGUUCUAGUCUGAGCGCAUUGAUACCCACAGUCCAGAGGAUGUGAACAUUCUGGCUCCUUUACCUGGAGAGUAUGACUGGGAGACGCUGAGAGUCAAUCCAGUAUCAUCUGCCUUCUAUACCUAUAGCAUUUCCCAAAGGAAGAUCAUCACUGAACUAACAUCUGUGCCAAUCUUCCUCUAUUUUAUGCGGGAUGCUGCCACAGUGUGUGGCUUGAUGAGUGCUGCUAGGUCUGUGCCCAGGAUCCAAACCUGCGAACCCUGGGCCAUCAAAGCGGAGCAGGCGAACUUAACCACCAUGCCACCGGGCCUCCCCUUCUCUUGGACUGUUAAUCCUUCACCAAGUUUUUGCAGUCUACAAAGUCACUUUAAAUGAUCCCCAUUGGUUUUGAAGAGAUU